AUCCAGCUGACGAAUCCCAAAUAGAACGAAACGCGCUUGUUGGAU
rfam:Schistosoma mansoni, Puerto Rico, WGS project CABG01000000 data, contig: 0184